CUCCUUGAUGUGUUUUAUGUUGGCAGAUAUCCGGACUACCCCUAGCAGUCCGGACUUAUACUCCGAAUCUCUCUCCCCCCCGUGAGAUUCGGAGUUUUUUUUGCCU
rnacentral:sRNA from 1 species